rnacentral:rRNA from 1 species
GACUCUCGGCAACGGAUAUCUCGGCUCUCGCAUCGAUGAAGAACGUAGCGAAAUGCGAUACUUGGUGUGAAUUGUAGAAUCCCAUGAACCAUCGAGUCUUUGAACGUAAGUUACGCCCGAGGCCUCUUGGUCAAGGGCACGUCUGCCUGGGUGUCA